rnacentral:lncRNA from 7 species
AUAAGAGGGGCUUCAGUGAGUAGCUGAAAACACAGGCAGAUCCAGAGCCUGGAAACUGAAAUGAGGCAACUUCAGAGUGGGAAGCAGGGUGGCUGUGGCUGAAGCAGGAGCUUUGUGCCAAAGGAGGAACACAUGCAGUAUCCCAGGGGUGGUAACUUUCAGGCCAUGCAACCCCAUGGACAAAGGCAGCGUGCAGGGAGUGGGUGUGCAGUGACUGUACCUCCCGUGUUCCGAAAUGCAUCCAGGAGAUCCUGCAGAGAUAAAAGGCAGAAGGGAAAGGGAACCGCAAAGAAAGGCCUGUGGGUGGUGCUGGGGGGAAACAUGACAACAGAAAAUGAUGUGCACACACAUCAGUGCCUGCACAGACAGCACGACAAGAUGAGUUGUUAACCUGAAGCCUGCAGAGCAGAAAAGCAAAGGAGGGAGCUAACCUGUCACAGCCAUGACUGAGGGGUUUGGGUUGUGCCCGCAGGUGGCACUGCAGGUGAUGCGCAUUUGCACAGAGAAAUGAAGGUCCAGGUGAGUUAAAGGCAUCUCUGUGCAGAUCAGCCUGCAGAGCCCAAAGGGAAGCCCACGGAGAUGUGGAGCCAGCAUACAGUCCUUCCUAUGGCGUUUCUUUCUCCACCAAACAGAGGUGGGGUCACAAACUCAGCAUGAGGUGUGAACAGAAGAGAGCUGCUGGUAGCAGCCAGGCUGCAGGACAGCAUCGUGUAUGUGACAUUCUGGGGCUGGGCACUGGAGCACCAUCCACCACAGCCCUUCAAGGAGGGGCAGGAGCAGAUUUGGGAUUGGAUAAAAGCACCGUGAGACAUCCAGUGAUCGCAGCUCCAUCCAAAGGACACCUGCUGGCUUCCAAAGGCAGCAGCCUUCCUGCCAACAGCAAAUGCAAGUUGCCAGAUGUCCAUUCAGAGACCACUUGGGUUUUUAAGUAUCUAAGAGACAUUCUUGCCUAAGUGUCUCUUUAUCUGUUCUGUGCUUCCCAAAUGAAACCACAACAGAUAGGCAAGAUCAAGAGAUUUCCAAUCCGAGAAGAGCACUGGAAGCACAGCGGCAAAUGGCAGCCAAAAAGUAGUUAUGAGUUCGUUUUCAAGGCAGGGUUGGAAAGAAGCUGAGGACAAACCACCCUAAACAACAGGGGGCCCUGCAGGGGCUCAUGGCUACUAAUUGAUCGUGAUGGCCGUUGUGGGGGGAGAAAUGCCCCCACUUCUUGAGAACUGCCAAGGAGAUUUGAGAGGAGAUGGUGUGGAUCCCAAAGUUCAGGUAGGAGUUCAGCAGAGUGCCAAAGGAAAACAGGGCUGGUAGAGAAGUGCCGCAUGUCAGGACAUGUCCUGCCACCCUCAGAGACUGGAGCUCCUGUAGUGCAAAAUACCUUGCAGCAGAUGACAGCCUCAGAGGACAGCGAGAUGAGUCCAAAGGCAGUGAUACUGUCGUUGAGUUUGGCUGUGCUGUCACCAGGAGGAACACACAGUGUCCCUGCAGGUUCCUUGCACUUCAGUGAUGCUCCAGCACGGCCUGCCCAGCUGUGAAUGGGUUGGAGAAGAGCCUGGCAGAGUUUUUAGCAGAACACAGCCCUGACACACAGGAGGUAUUUGGGAACUCUUGCAAAUCCUUUCUAAAUCAUAGAGUAAAUUUUUUAAACCUGAUGAAUAUUAUACUAAUGCUCUGAGAUCAAACAUGACUUAAAUUUUGGGCAGCAAUGGGGGAAGGUCAUGCUGCAAGUGGAAAACCAGCUGCAAGGAGCUGGAGUUGCCUCGGGCAGAAUUCAACAUAAGCACCAUCAGUGCCGCAGCAUCGCUCCCUGUGUGUCCAUGUGUUCUUUUAUGGUCCCAAUGCCACUGUCAGAGCAGGUGCAAAGGAAAAGAAGAAAGAUAAACAAAACUAAAGUAGCCCUCCGUAACAGUCCACUCCAUAACCAAAGUCCCUUUGUGUGCUGGUUAAGUAAGAAUUUCUUCUUCCUUUCUCCAGCACCUCUCUGGUGCUCAGGGGCUAAUUGUCUUGUGUUCAUCCCAGUUCCUGGACUGCAUCCCAGCAGGCUCUAUGGCAGCC